UCAACCAGAGUCCUUGACCUUGCAAAUCGAAGAAACAAAACCAGUUUUACAUUUCCGUUGGGACACUACGUCACAGAUCAAGUUCUAUGUUCGCAACGAAAAGGAUUUUCGAAUUUUUGUCCAGCACAAGGCUGUGCAGAAGGACAAUUACAAUACGAUGUGUUUGUGAUACAAUCAGCAAGUAAAGUCUGUAAUACCAGUAACAACAUCUGCCGAUGUCCUCAAGACCCUGACGGUGCUUUCAGUUUAAAUAAAACUUUCCUGCAGAGUGAUGCCGGCCUGUGGGUGUUCAGGCCUUGGCAACAUGACAACAUCUCUAAAAUAGUCAAUGUUCAGCAUCAGUGAUUCCACUACGCAGACACAAUCGUCAGUCAUCACAACUGCCUCUACAGCCUUCGUUUGAGUAGUGAAACUUUUUCAACAGCAACGCAAAUCUUAACGGAUGCAUCUACACAGAACACUUCCGAAACGUUUACUGUGGAAGCAAGUGAGCCGAGCACGUCAGUAGAAGAGGUGAACUCUGUUACCGGAACAACGAUAUCCCAGAUUUUCAUUGGAAGUUUGUCUACCACCUUCUCACGAGCAGCCUUCAGCCACAGGUCAGCAACAGACCCAUUGAAGCUGACGACGACAGAUGCAACUGUCAUCGCCAUCAUCGUCGUGGUGAUUUUCAUCGCUCUGUUAGUCAUCGUCUUAACCUUGGUAGUCUGGAGACGUCCAGACAUUAUCUUGAAACUGCGCAGAGCUCCAGCCACCGAGAAGCCCCUCUGACUACCUGUUACUGAGUCGUCAAACUUCCACAAGCACAUCACGUGGGGAACCUUCCAGCGACUACCAGACACACGUCUUCGACACCAGCGCGAGCAUCAUCAGCAACUCAACCAGCGACGCUUUAUGCACGCACCUGCGUUCUGUCCGAGGCGAGCCGAGAACUGUCUGGACACCGAAACAUAUUUUCUGUUUUUGGACAACAGAUGCCAUCAGAGAAUGUUCCUGAAGUUCAAGGAGGUGUUUGCAAGCUGACGCCUUCUUCAAACGAUGGUUGUACUUUUGUCAACCUCUCGGCCACAACCGACACAGCUGAUGACUACUUGACCCCGAUCAUUGACUUCAAAGCGUAUAUGAUUCAAACACGGAAAACUGAAGGUGAGUCUACCUCCGACAGUCCUCAAUCCUCAGCCAGCGAUGAAGAUGGAUCGCCGACCAGAUACAGGGGUCAUCAGAAUCAAGGAGUUACAUGAGUACAAGCAUAAACCACACAGAUGGGGCAACAGCAAAUCUUAGAGCGCUGCCUGGCGGAGUAUGCGGAGAAUCACGAGACAGUCAAAAUUCUUACGACAGCACCAAAAUGACCUCACUAUGACCCCGCCACCUCUACAACAGCACCGAUGAACCAUGGUGGGGAUGGGAAGGCAAGAUUUUAGAAGGAAAUCGUAGAGACGGAAACUGAAAGCUUUGCUUGUCUAUUAGACAUAGCACCGACCAGUGUCCAGAUGAGGUGGUCAGCUGAUACUUUGACUUUGCUUCUGUUGUAAGAGGCAGUAGGCCACGUAGCUUCCAGGCCUCCUUCGUUCUUCGCAUACAUACCUUAGGUAGUUUACAAUGUGCAAUAAACUACUGUAAAAUUAACCUGAAACCAUAUAUUUCAAACUUCCCUACAGACAGAGGGAUGCAUAACUGAUCAGCAAUACUCCACCAGACUAGUUACCCAAUAUUAUUAGUAAUGAUUAUGUAUGUGGGGUUAUUUGUUUAGUUUGUGUGGUUCAUUUGUGUUCUGUGUUUUUCUGCUUUUGUUUUUUAUAUGAUUUGUUUACUGUUUACAGUUUGUUUUAAUUUUUUUAUUUUUUUAUUUUUUUUAGAGUUGUUGGUUUGUGUCCUCUGAAAGAUUAAUUAUUUGUUCUGACUGCACUACUACUAUUUGUGUCUAUAGGUCUAGCUGAGUUGAAAUUGCUUUCAUUCCUUUUGAACUAUAUAUAUUUACAUAGGAUCAAAUGAUUUUAAGUUACUGUGCUGCAAAACGAUGAAAUUCUCUCCCUUACAUAUCUACAUAUGUAAUGUAUGUAAUGAGCAUAGUGUUCUGAAAAUAAAAAUAAAAGAAG
rnacentral:lncRNA from 1 species